CCCUAGUACGGCGAGUGAGCGGGAUGAGCUCAAAUUUAAAAUCUGGCUGCCUCAGGUGGUCCGAGUUGUAGUCUCGAGAAGUGUUUUCCGCGUUGGCCUGUGUACAAGUCCUUUGGAAUAAGGCGUCAUAGAGGGUGAGAAUCCCGUCCUUGACACAGAUCCCCAAUGCUUUGUGAUGCGCUCUCAAAGAGUCGAGUUGUUUGGGAAUGCAGCUCAAAAUGGGUGGUAAAUUCCAUCUAAAGCUAAAUAUUGGCGAGAGACCGAUAGCGAACAAGUACCGUGAGGGAAAGAUGAAAAGCACUUUGGAAAGAGAGUUAAACAGUACGUGAAAUUGUUGAAAGGGAAACGAUUGAAGUCAGUCAUGCUCGUAGGGAUUCAACCGGUUCUGCCGGCCUAUUUCCCUACUUGCAGGCCAGCAUCAGUUUUGACCGGUGGAAAAGGUUGGAGGGAAUGUGGCAUCCUCGGAUGUGUUAUAGCCCUCUUUCGCAUACAUCGGUUGGGACUGAGGAACGCAGCACGCCUUUAUGGUCGGUCUUCGGACACGUACGUGCUUAGGAUGCUGGCAUAAUGGCUUUAAACGACCCGUCUGAAA
rnacentral:rRNA from 1 species